rnacentral:rRNA from 1 species
AACGAACGCUGGCGGCAGGCCUAACACAUGCAAGUCGAGCGCCCCGCAAGGGGAGCGGCGGACGGGUGAGUAACACGUGGGAACGUACCCUUUGCUACGGAAUAGUCUCGGGAAACUGGGGGUAAUACCGUAUGUGCCCUUCGGGGGAAAGAUUUAUCGGCAAAGGAUCGGCCCGCGUUGGAUUAGGUAGUUGGUGGGGUAAUGGCCUACCAAGCCGACGAUCCAUAGCUGGUUUGAGAGGAUGAUCAGCCACACUGGGACUGAGACACGGCCCAGACUCCUACGGGAGGCAGCAGUGGGGAAUCUUAGACAAUGGGCGCAAGCCUGAUCUAGCCAUGCCGCGUGAGCGAUGAAGGCCUUAGGGUUGUAAAGCUCUUUCAGUGGGGAAGAUAAUGACUGUACCCACAGAAGAAGCCCCGGCUAACUCCGUGCCAGCAGCCGCGGUAAAGUCUGUACU